AUUCCAACCCGUGUCGCCAAAUUUUCAUGCAAGAAUCUGCGUAAAGCCUACAGCUUUGGCCAUCCACAUGAUGUGCAGAAUGUCUGGGGCUUGGUAUGUUUAUCUUCCCCGCAUAGCCCUUUUUUUAUGUUUUUAUGCUUAACCCUAGCACCCGAGAAUGCACCAAACUUCCCCUCAAUGAAAUUAAAAUAGAAGGUUACUGGCCGGGAUUUGCUACAUAUCACUUUGGGUACAGUCCACUUUCCAACGAGUAUAAGGUUCUCCAGUUCCUCUAUCUUCGUUCCAAAGGACUUGGAAAAUGUCAUGUUGGGUUCAGCAUAAUCACACUAGGCACGAGUUCAUGGAGGCCAUUGCAGGUAGACCCUGGCUAUCUUCCUUUUGAUGCUCUAGCUUACGCCUCUGUCUCUUAUAGAAGGAGAAGUAGUGGAAGUGUGUGUCUCAAUGGGGCCUUACAUUGGAUCUAUGAGAAGCAGAAAGUGACAGUGGGAUUUGACAUUAGAGAGGAGACAUUCAGAGUGAUGCCACUACCCCAAGAUUAUUCGCAAGAGUUUGAUGAUUGUGAUGAUAAAGAUAAUUAUCACUUUUAUGGUAGUAUUGCUAAUUCUUAUUGCCGAGAAAGUGCAGUUGUAGAGGUGGGGGGAUGCUUGGGUGUGUUUGUUGACAAGUCGUGGAAGCAAGACAAGAUCGUGUUAUGGAUUUUGAAGGACUAUCAAAAUCAUGUGUGGGUUAAGGAGACUAUUAGCUUGAUGUCAAUAGACACACGGUACCUUAGUCAGGGGUACUAUGUUAGAUUUUUGGGUACAAUCCACACUGGUGAGCUUGCACUAGUGCACUAUGCUCUUGGAUAUUCACCUGGAUAUGACGAUGAUGUACCCAAAUUGCAUCUUUAUGAUAUGAAAACUAAACAAUUUAGAAUACUUGACUUUGUUUUUGGUAAGAAGGUGUUAAGGGAUCUUUCGAGACCAAUUAGGUUAAUUAUUAUAUUAGGAUAUCUUCCCCUUGAAAUGAGACAGAUUAGCUUGG
rnacentral:lncRNA from 1 species